rnacentral:rRNA from 1 species
UACAGAGGUCUCAAGCGUUGUCCGGAUUCAUUGGGCGUAAAGGGUGCGUAGGUGGCGCCGUAAGUCAGGUGUGAAAUCUCGGGGCUUAACUCCGAAACUGCAUUUGAUACUGCGGUGCUUGAGGACUGGAGAGGAGACUGGAAUUUACGGUGUAGCAGUGAAAUGCGUAGAUAUCGUAAGGAAGACCAGUGGCGAAGGCGGGUCUCUGGACAGUUCCUGACGCUGAGGCACGAAGGUCAGGGGAGCAAACGGG